UUUGGGUAUAUUUAAACCAUAAGAUAAUAGGCAUCGUCUAGACAAGCGCGCACCACUUUAGGCUGCAUCUUCACUUGCCAUCAGGUGAGAUCGCAGUCAAGCGCUAGUCGAUAUAUAA